GUUCGAUAGAGCCCUUGGUGAUGCCCAUUCAGAGAAGGCUUCUUUGAUGGUUGCUAGUCCAUAUCGAGAGAUAUUGGGGAUGGCAUAGUUGGCUUCUCCCUCGAAAACUCAUCCAUCUCCUAGAUAUUCCUUUCGAAAAACCUCAGGAAGUCAGCCCAGGGGGAUGGCAACUAUAAUGAAAGGUCCCAGACCUUCCAAUAGGGUUCUAUGCUACG
rnacentral:lncRNA from 1 species